rnacentral:rRNA from 2 species
UGGGGAAUAUUGCACAAUGGGCGCAAGCCUGAUGCAGCGACGCCGCGUGCGGGAUGGAGGCCUUCGGGUUGUAAACCGCUUUUGUCGGGGAGCAAGCCUUCGGGUGAGUGUACCCUUCGAAUAAGCACCGGCUAACUACGUGCCAGCAGCCGCGGUAAUACGUAGGGUGCAAGCGUUAUCCGGAAUUAUUGGGCGUAAAGAGCUCGUAGGCGGUUCGUCGCGUCCGGUGUGAAAGUCCAUCGCUUAACGGUGGAUCUGCGCCGGGUACGGGCGGGCUGGAGUGCGGUAGGGGAGACUGGAAUUCCCGGUGUAACGGUGGAAUGUGUAGAUAUCGGGAAGAACACCAAUGGCGAAGGCAGGUCUCUGGGCCGUUACUGACGCUGAGGAGCGAAAGCGUGGGGAGCGAACAGG